AUUGAACGCUGGCGGCAUGCUUUACACAUGCAAGUCGAACGGUAACAGGUCUUUCGGGAUGCUGACGAGUGGCGAACGGGUGAGUAAUGUAUCGGAACGUGCCCAGUAGUGGGGGAUAACUACUCGAAAGAGUGGCUAAUACCGCAUGAGAUCUCUGGAUGAAAGCGGGGGACCGUAAGGCCUCGCGCUACUGGAGCGGCCGAUAUCAGAUUAGGUAGUUGGUAGGGUAAGAGCCUACCAAGCCAACGAUCUGUAGCUGGUCUGAGAGGACGACCAGCCACACUGGGACUGAGACACGGCCCAGACUCCUACGGGAGGCAGCAGUGGGGAAUUUUGGACAAUGGGCGCAAGCCUGAUCCAGCAAUGCCGCGUGCAGGACGAAGGCCUUCGGGUUGUAAACUGCUUUUGUACGGACGAAAGCUUCUGGUUAAUACCUGGGAGUCAUGACGGUACCGUAAGAAUAAGCACCGGCUAACUACGUGCCAGCAGACC
rnacentral:rRNA from 1 species